rnacentral:lncRNA from 1 species
ACAGGUUCACCUUUUACUGUUUCUGUAGGCUCAACUUCAGUAGCCACAGGUUCUUCUUUUACCGUUUCUGUAGCUUGAACUUCAGUAGCCACAGGUUCUUCUUUUACCAUUUCUCUAGGAUCAACUUCAGUAACCACAGGUUUGACUUUUACUGAUUCUGUCAGAUCAACUUCAGUAACCAGGGGUUCUUUUACUGUUUUUGUAAUUUCAACUUCUGUAGCCACAGCUUCUUCUUUUACUGUCUCUGUAGGAUCAACUUCAGUAACUAUAGGUUCGUCUUUUACCGUUUCUGUUGCCUCGAAUUCAGUAGCUGCAGGUUCAUCUUUUACCAUUUCUGUAGGCUCAACUACAGUUGUCACAGGUUCUUCUUUUACGGUUUCUGUAGCUUCAACUUCAGUAGCCACAGAUUCUUCUUUUACUGUUUCUGUAGCUUCAACUUCAGUAGCCACUGGUUCUUCUUUUACUGUUUCUGUAGCUUCAACUUCAGUAGCCACUGGUUCUUCUUUUACUGUUUCUGUAGCUUCAACUUCAGUAGCUGCAGGUUCGUCUUUUACCGUUUCUGUAGCCUCAACUUCAGUUGCCACAGGUUCUUCUUUUACCGUUUCUGUAGGCUCAACUUCAGUAGCCACGGGUUCUUCUUUUACUGUUUCUGUAGCUUCAGCUUCAGUAGCUAGAGGUUCUUCUUUUACCGUUUCUGUAGGAUCAACUUCAGUAACCACAGGUUCGUCUUUUACGGUUUCUGUAACCUUAACUUCAGUAGCUGCAGGUUCUUCUUUUACUGUUUCCGUAGCCUCAACUUCAGUAGCCACAAGUUCUUCUUUUAGUGUUUCUGUAGCCUCAACUUCAGUAACCACGGGUUCUUCUUUUACUAUCUCUGCA